AUCGCUUUGGCACUUCUCUAAUUUGUUUUAGAUUCGUCUUAGAACUUUUGCAAAAUAUUUCAUUCAAAUCACCGACUCAAUUUAACAACUACUUUCUAACAGAAUAUUCAAAAUAUCUUGAUGCAUUAGCAAACGAAGAUGUAGAAUGUUCAUUUAAAAAAUAGACGCCAAACUGAGCUGAUGGUCCAUACGAAACAUUUUAUGAAGUUCAACAAUGAGAUGAAAAAAAUUAAAUUUCAGUAGCUAAAGUGACACUUAGUGCAAAGUUAAAUGACCAUGAGUAAAAUUUUCGACCAACAAUUACUGAACAAUCCACCAUUUUUUUGUUGCAUUUUGCAAACCAAGCCCCCCAAUUAUGUCUUCCAUAUUCACAAGGUUUGGUUUUGGCCACAGCCAUGGCUCUCUCUGCGUCUACCAUAAUUCUCUUUGAUCAUUUCCGGGAAAAGUAUUAAGAUUCAACUACCGAUAAACGAGUUCUUCAGUCUUGUUUAUCUUCAGGUACAAGAAAACUCCAUUUCUUCUUUUCUUGUUUUCUUGAAUUAAUUACUAUAAUUUAGAAGAUUAACUGUCUACAUGUUGGCUAAGUAUAAAAAUAUUAAUCAAAGUUAGGCGAUUAAGUUCAAAAGAAUAAUUUGGUCUGAUUAAAGCUCCCAUUGAUCAUUUUUGUUAUAGGUAGCAAGAAAAAGGAGAAGACGAAGAAGAGGGUUCAAUUUGCAGAUGAUGUAAAAGAUUCAAGUGGGAAUAGUGAAUUGCACAGAGAAGAAGAUGAAAUUCCUGUAAAUCACGCGACUUUGUACAGUGGGAUUCUCAAGGAUCGUGUGCAAAGAAUGGAGUACUCGGAAUGCUUUUAGCUGUAGAAUUUGUAUUAGAGGGAAAUGGAGUUACCAUAAGCACCUCUUGGCUCCCUUAUGUAUGGUAAAUACAUUGGAUUGGAUUUCUUCAUUAUGUUUGUUUGGCUGUGUGCAAAAAUUACUUUUUAAUGAGUUAAGACUUAAUUAAAAUUUAAUUUA
rnacentral:lncRNA from 1 species